rnacentral:rRNA from 1 species
UACGUAGGGCGCAAGCGUUGUCCGGAAUUAUUGGGCGUAAAGAGCUCGUAGGCGGUCUGUCGCGUCGGCUGUGAAAACCCGUGGCUCAACCCCGGGCCUGCAGUCGAUACGGGCAGACUAGAGUGCGGUAGGGGAGACUGGAAUUCCUGGUGUAGCGGUGAAAUGCGCAGAUAUCAGGAGGAACACCGGUGGCGAAGGCGGGUCUCUGGGCCGUAACUGACGCUGAGGAGCGAAAGCGUGGGGAGCGAACAGG